UGUUAUUAUACAAAAAAAAAAAGAUGAAAUUAUCAAUCUAACCCCAUAUAAUUUGUGAAAAACAAUUGUGUUAUAGUGAAAAGACCAUUUUGCCUCCGAUAACUAGUUCAAAAGUUUUUUGUUCAAGGUCAAUUUCAUAAUCACACUAUUACAAUGAAUAGUAAUAUGAGUUUUGGUGAACAAUAACUUUCCUAGGAGAAUUAGUUUUUUUUAAAUUUAAUCGGCCACUAAAAAUUAAAAUGAAAGAAAUUAUUAUAUAAUAUCACUGAACUAAAGGAAAUGGAAUUAGCUUCCACGUACAUUUAUGUAUGUGUGUGUUAUGUCUGGUCACUACUAGUUGAUGCACUGUGACAUAAUAUAGUCAUCAUCAUUGUGCCUGUUAUAGAGGUCCAAUCAGGAAGUAAAAGAUAAAAAAGCUUUUGCAGUUUACUUCAGAAAAA